GACGAACGCUGGCGGCGUGCCUAAUACAUGCAAGUCGAGCGGAACUGGGGGAGCUUGCUCCUUCCAGUUUAGCGGCGGACGGGUGAGUAACACGUGGGCAACCUGCCCUGCAGAUCGGGAUAACUCCGGGAAACCGGUGCUAAUACCGAAUAGUUUGGCGCCUCUCCUGAGGCGCCACGGAAAGACGGUUUCGGCCGUCCCUGCAGGAUGGGCCCGCGGCGCAUUAGCUAGUUGGUGGGGUAACGGCCCACCAAGGCGACGAUGCGUAGCCGACCUGAGAGGGUGACCGGCCACACUGGGACUGAGACACGGCCCAGACUCCUACGGGAGGCAGCAGUAGGGAAUCUUCCGCAAUGGACGCAAGUCUGACGGAGGAACGCCGCGUGAGUGACGAAGGUUUUCGGAUCGUAAAACUCUGUUGUGAGGGAAGAACACGUACCAACUAACUAUUGGUACCUUGACGGUACCUCACCAGAAAGCCACGGCUAACUACGUGCCAGCCGCCGCCGUAA
rnacentral:rRNA from 1 species